rnacentral:rRNA from 1 species
GACGAACGCUGGCGGCGUGCCUAAUACAUGCAAGUUGAGCGAUGAAGAUUGGUGCUUGCACCAAUUUGAAGAGCAGCGAACGGGUGAGUAACGCGUGGGGAAUCUGCCUUUGAGCGGGGGACAACAUUUGGAAACGAAUGCUAAUACCGCAUAACAACUUUAAACAUAAGUUUUAAGUUUGAAAGAUGCAAUUGCAUCACUCAAAGAUGAUUCCGCGUUGUAUUAGCUAGUUGGUGAGGUAAAGGCUCACCAAGGCGAUGAUACGUAGCCGACCUGGGAGGGUGGUCGGCCACAUUGGGACUGAGACACGGCCCAAACUCCUACGGGAGGCAGCAGUAGGGAAUCUUCGGCAAUGGACGAAAGUCUGACCGAGCAACGCCGCGUGAGUGAAGAAGGUUGUCGGAUCGUAAAACUCGGUUGGUAGAGAAGAACGUUGGUGAGAGUGGAAAGCUCAUCAAGUGACGGUAACUACCCAGAAAGGGACGGCUAACUACGUG